ACGCUGGCGGCGUGCCUAACACAUGCAAGUCGAACGGAGUCGGCCCCGCAAGGGACUGACUUAGUGGCGAACGGGUGAGUAACGCGUGAGCAACCUGCCUUUCAGUGGGGGACAACAUUUGGAAACGAAUGCUAAUACCGCAUAAGACCACAGUGUCGCAUGGCACAGGGGUCAAAGGAUUUAUCCGCUGAAAGAUGGCCUCGCGUCUGAUUAGCUAGUUGGUGAGGUAACGGCCCACCAAGGCGACGAUCAGUAGCCGGACUGAGAGGUUGAACGGCCACAUUGGGACUGAGAUACGGCCCAGACUCCUACGGGAGGCAGCAGUGGGGAAUAUUGCACAAUGGAGGAAACUCUGAUGCAGCGACGCCGCGUGAGUGAAGAAGUAAUUCGUUAUGUAAAGCUCUAUCAGCAGGGAAGAUAGUGACGGUACCUGACUAAGAAGCUCCGGCUAAAUACGUG
rnacentral:rRNA from 1 species